rnacentral:lncRNA from 1 species
UUUUUUUUUUUUUUUUUUUUUUUUUUACAUUUGCUCUUCUUAAAACACAGAUCUGAUCAUGUGCCUCCUUUGCUGCAAACUAUUUAAUAACUCCCUAUGGCUUUUAGGAUCAAGAGCAAAUUCCUUAGUGGGGUAUUCAACAUCCUUCAUAAUCUGGUCAUCCUCUACUCUGGCAAGCACAUAUCUCAUAGUCCGGCUACACUUAAUUCUUCAUGAGCUUUGCUUAACUUCUUCCUCUCUCCCUUGGCGCCCUGAUUUGCCCACCUCCCCGUUCCCCAGAAAGCAUAAAAAGUCCAUCACACCUUUAUUAGGACUGACCAGUAUAGUGAAAUCAUCUGUUACGUGUCUGUGUCCCCCACUCCGCCUGGGAGCUCAUUUAAGGAUGGAACCCUCACCCAUUAUAUUUAUUUCUGAAUCUCUCAGCUUAGGCCAGGGCAGACAUAGGAGCCCAGAAAAUAUUUAUUGGGUUGAUUGACUUGAACUGGGUAUUGAAGGAUAGGCAGGAUUUAGAUAUAUCAUGAGGAGAUUUAGGAAUCGUAAGAAAAGUCUCCAAAGAAACACUGCCGUUGUAGAGGAUAGAGGCACAAUGAAUAUGUCCUGGGGUAGGUAAAGAAGCAGGGACACAGUGCUAAUGACAUCCAGUUUCAGGCCAAACUCUGCCCCUGUCUCCUGGGCCGCCUCAGGAAAGUCUUCCAAGGUUGAGGUGGAAUUGUUUUGUUCUUCCUAGAGAUCUUUCUCACGGCAGAGAUCCUUCCUGGAUGGCUUUAAACUACCCACACCAGGCUCUCCCAUCUGUUCUAGGCCCAUUCUGCCUCAAAUUGUAAUUAAAUCUUCAUUGUGUAUUUUGUUCUUCGUUUUUCAACUUUCUUUGGCUCCCCUAUCAUUUCCAGGAUGAGGUUCCAGUUUGCAACUCUGGAUAUACUGAGCUCUUUCCUGGUCCUACAUCUUUGUUCUUUCUGUUCAUCUGGCCUGAGAUGCCUCUUUUCUUCCAUCUCAGCAAACUGCACUUUGCCUAUAAGGUAUUAAUGAAUGUCACACUUAGCAAUGCAUGUGGUAACUUCUAGGGAGAUGACUACAAUAAUAUAAAAAGGAGAAUUUAAUUUCUAAACUGGUACAGGAGGAGAAACUAAGUAAUGUAAAAGAAUGUUAAGAAAACAGGGAUUUACAUGAAAACAAGCAGUUGAAAAGAGGGUUAUCAUCAUCAGUUAUUAGGGAAAUGUUUACAAAAACCUCAAUGAGGUGUAACUUUAUAGCGCCUAAGAUGGCUAUAAUAAUAAUAAUAAAAGGAAAAUAGCAAGUGUUGGCAAGGGUGUGGAAAAGUGUAACCCUCACCCACUGCUAGCAGUAAUGUAAAAGAGUGCAGCCACUUUGGAAAACAGUCUGGUAGUUCCUCACAUAAUUAAACACACAGUUACGAAAGACCCCAUAAAUCCACUCCUAGGUAUAAACACAGGAGAAUUGAAAACAUACAUCCAUAAAAAACUUGUACAUCAAUGUCCAUAGCAGUAUUAUUCAUAGUGGCCACAAGGUAGAAACUCAAAUGUCAUUCAACUUUUGACCGUAUACAUGAAAUAUGGCUUAUCCACAAAAUGGAAUAUUAUUCUAUCAUAAAAUGGAAUGAAGUUCUGUUAGGUGCUACAACAGGGAAGAACCUUGAAAACAUUAUGUUAACUGAAAUAAUUCAGACACAAAGGCCACAUAUUGUAUGAUUCCAUUUAUAGGUGAUGUCCAGAUAGGCAAAUCCAUUGAGAUAAAAAGUAGAUUAGUAGUUGCCAGGGGCUGGGGUGAGGGAAGAUGGGGAAUGACUGCUAAUGAUCUGGGAUUUCUUUUUGGGUAACGAAAAUCUUUUGGAAUUAGGUAGUAGUGAUAGCUGCACAACUUUGUGAAUAUAAUUGACCCUUGAACAACACAGGUGUUUUAAGGGGUGCUAACCCCCUAUAGUCCAAAAUCCAAGUAAAACUUUUGACUCCUCAAAACCAUAGCUACUAAGAGCCUACUGUUGAGCAGAAACCUUACUGAUAACAUAAACAGUUGAUGAACACAUAUUUUAUAUGUGCUAUAUAUUACAUAUUGUAUUCUUAUAAUAAAAUAAGCUGGAGAAAAGAAUAAGUUCUUAAGGACAUCAUAAAGAAGAAAAAAUACAUUUACAGUGCUGUAUUGUAUUUAUUGAAAAAAAUUCUCUUACAAGUGAGCAUACCCCAAGGGUGCCUGGAUGGCUUAGUGGGUUGAGUGUCUAACUCUUGGUUUUGGCUCAGGUCAUAAUUUCGGGGUCAUGAGUUGAAGUCCUAUGUCAGGCUCCCUGAUCAGCAGGGAGUCUACUCUAGAUUCUCUUCCUCUCCCUCUGCUCCUCCCACUGCUCAUGCUCGCUCUAAUAAAUAAAUCUUUAAAAAAUAAGUGAACCUGCCCAGUUAAAAUCCAUGUCAUUCUAGGGUCAACUAUAUUAAAUUCUCUGGAAUCAUAUACUUUAAAUGGGUAAAUAUUGGGACGCCUCACUGGCUCAGCAGUUUAGCGCCUGCCUUCAGCCCAGGGCAUGAUCCUGGAGUCCUGGUAUUGAGUCCCACGUCGGGCUCCCUGCAUGGAGCCUGCUUCUCCCUCUGCCUAUGUCUCUGCCUCUCUCUCUCUCUCUGUGUCUCUCAUGAAUUAAUAAAUAAACUCUUUUAAAAAAUGGGUAAAUAUUAUAUUAUGUGAGUUAUAUCUCAAUUUUUUAAAAAUCUGGCAGGACUGAGACUCAAAAGAAAAUGGAAGUUAUUACUAUUACAAAAGAACUAAAAUUAAAAAAAAAGAAUAAAGGAAAGAAACAGAAAUGGAACAGAUUGGACAAAUUAGAAAAUGCUAGAUAAAACCCUGAAUAUACCAGUAAAUUCUUUAAAUGCAAUAGACUAAAUGCUCUAGUUCAAAGUCAAAUGUAUUCACACAAGAUUUAUGAAAAUCUAAUUGUAUGUUAUUUAUAAACAUUAUCCUUCCUUAUCAAGUUGUAGGAAAAAGAGGAAGGAAAUCAACCUUUACUAGGUACUUACUGUGUGUCAAACAUGUGCCCAGUUCUUUGCAAAUUCCCUUAUUUGACCUUUACAAGACCUUACAACAUGGGAAUUUUUCUGCCCAUUUUAUAGAUAAGGGAAGUGGGUCACAGAACAGUUAAAUAUUUGUGCGAGGUCUAAAAAGUAGCAAGACAUACUUAGCUGUUUAACUCCAAAUCUGACACUCUUUCCAAUGUACCACUUAAGAAAUCUAGACCAUCACUCUGAAAGACAAAGUCUCUUGCUCUUCCCUGAUUCUGUAGUCUUUAUGAGUCCUGUCUCCUCCCUGAGGACCAAUGUUUCAAAGCUGCAUAGGGUGAGCUCUCACAGCAUGUAUGUGAGAGACUGGAGGGUUCCUAGCACAGAGCUGGACUUUCCUUUGUUUUGUCUCUCUUGGCCAGAGCAGAGUGUUGAGCUUUGGACAUCUCUGGGAUCCUGAUGCCCAGGAGAGGGCUUGGUUCAGCAAACUUGUGAGCACGCACCAAAUUCCUUUUCUUUAGAAGGGAAGAAGGAAGAUGAUGAUAAUCAAAAAGGCAUUAUGAGAAUUAGGCAGAGUAAGAGUAUAUUGUCUACAAAGUCCUUUCUAGGGCAGAAGUACCCAGGAAUGAUGAACUUAAUAACCAUAUGCCUACCACAGUAAGCAUAUGCAGAGAAGUCUUUCUGCAUAGAAAUCAUCAGAAGGGAUCCCUGGGUGGCGCAGCGGUUUGGCACCUGCCUUUGGCCCAGGGCGCGAUCCUGGAGACCCGGGAUCGAAUCCCACAUCGGGCUCCCGGUGCAUGGAGCCUGCUUCUCCCUCUGACUAUGUCUCUGCCUCUCUCUCUCUCUCUCUGUGACUAUCAUAAAUAAAAAAUAAAAAAAAAAAAAA